AUUGAACGCUGGCGGCAGGCCUAACACAUGCAAGUCGAACGAGUGGCGGACGGGUGAGUAAUGUCUGGGAAACUGCCUGAUGGAGGGGGAUAACUACUGGAAACGGUAGCUAAUACCGCAUACCAUCGGAUGUGCCCAGAUGGGAUUAGCUAGUAGGGGGGGUAAAGGCUCACCUAGGCGACGAUCCCUAGCUGGUCUGAGAGGAUGACGAGCAACACGGGAACGGGGAAAGGGUCCAGACUCCUACGGGAGGAAGCAGUGGGGACUAUUGCACAAGGGGCGAAAGCCGGAUGCAGCCAUGCGGCGGGUAUGAAGAAGGCCUUCGGGUUGUAAAGUACUUUAAGCGGGGAGGCGUUACCAGAAGAAGAAGCACCGGCUAACUCCGUGCCAGCAGCCGCGGUAAUAC
rnacentral:rRNA from 1 species